rnacentral:lncRNA from 1 species
UGGUCUGAACCAAAGGGUUGUGUUUGAACUCCAACAAGGGUGAAAAGAUGAACCCAAGAGCAAGGUGGAUAUUACCAAUACGCGGGCUAGCAGGCCUCCGCUGUAGGGUAAAACCGAAAAGGGAGGAAUUAAGUGUUUGAGGUUGUAGCCCAAACAUCUCUUGGUUCACAAAGUGAUGCAAGAAGGAGCACAACAAGGUAGUGUAUUUGGCUCAAAGGUACCUGGUAUAUCACAUGGAGUGAAGGAAGGUAUAUGAAUGCA